rnacentral:snRNA from 1 species
UGUGAGUCAAUGUUGCAGAGAAAUCCAUUUGUAACAAUACAGAGAAGUUUAGAACAGCCCUUGUGCAAGGAUGACAUGCAAAUUUGAGAAGUGUUUCAUAUUUUU